rnacentral:rRNA from 1 species
AGGACGAACGCUGGCGGCGUGCUUAACACAUGCAAGUCGAGGGCACUUUGGGGGCAACUCUGGAGUGACCGGCGAACGGGUGCGUAACACGUGAGCGACCUUGCCUCGUGGUGGGGGAUAGCCGGCCCAAACGGCCGGGUAAUACCGCAUAUGGUAGUUUCUUCGCAUGGGGAGACUAGCAAAGCUGAGUAGCAAUACUUGGCGCCACAGGGGGGGCUCGCGGCCUAUCAGCUAGUUGGGGGGGUAAUGGCCCACCAAGGCGACGACGGGUAGC